rnacentral:rRNA from 1 species
UACGUAGGGUGCGAGCGUUGUCCGGAAUUAUUGGGCGUAAAGAGCUCGUAGGCGGCCUGUUGCGUCGGUUGUGAAAGCCCCGGGGCUUAACCCCGGGUCUGCAGUCGGAUACGGGCAGGCUAGAGUUCGGUAGGGGAGAUCGGAAUUCCUGGUGUAGCGGUGAAAUGCGCAGAUAUCAGGAGGAACACCGGUGGCGAAGGCGGAUCUCUGGGCCGAUACUGACGCUGAGGAGCGAAAGCGUGGGGAGCGAACAGG